GAUGAACGCUGGCGGCGUGCCUAAUACAUGCAAGUCGAGCGAACGGACGAGAAGCUUGCUUCUCUGAUGUUAGCGGCGGACGGGUGAGUAACACGUGGAUAACCUACAUAUAAGACUGGGAUAACUUCGGGAAACCGGAGCUAAUACCGGAUAAUAUUUUGAACCGCAUGGUUCAAAAGUGAAAGACGGUCUUGCUGUCACUUAUAGAUGGAUCCGCGCUGCAUUAGCUAGUUGGUAAGGUAACGGCUUACCAAGGCAACGAUGCAUAGCCGACCUGAGAGGGUGAUCGGCCACACUGGAACUGAGACACGGUCCAGACUCCUACGGGAGGCAGCAGUAGGGAAUCUUCCGCAAUGGGCGAAAGCCUGACGGAGCAACGCCGCGUGAGUGAUGAAGGUCUUCGGAUCGUAAAACUCUGUUAGUAGGGAAGAACAUAUGUGUAAGUAACUGUGCACAUCUUGACGUUACCUAAUCAGAAAGCCACGGCUAACUACGUG
rnacentral:rRNA from 1 species